rnacentral:rRNA from 1 species
UACGGGGGGGGCAAGCGUUGUUCGGAAUUACUGGGCGUAAAGGGCGUGUAGGCGGCUGGGUAAGCCGCGUGUGAAAUCCCGGGGCUCAACCCCGGAACGGCACGCGGGACUGUCCGGCUAGAGAAUGGUAGAGGCGAGUGGAAUUCCUGGUGUAGCGGUGGAAUGCGUAGAGAUCAGGAAGAACACCGGUGGCGAAGGCGGCUCGCUGGGCCAUUUCUGACGCUGAGGCGCGAAAGCGUGGGGAGCAAACAGG